rnacentral:rRNA from 1 species
GUGCCAGAAGACUCGGUAAUACGGAGGGAGCUAGCGUUGUUCGGAAUUACUGGGCGUAAAGCGCACGUAGGCGGCUUUUUAAGUCAGGGGUGAAAUCCCGGGGCUCAACCCCGGAACUGCCCUUGAAACUGGGAAGCUAGAAUCUUGGAGAGGCGAGUGGAAUUCCGAGUGUAGAGGUGAAAUUCGUAGAUAUUCGGAAGAACACCAGUGGCGAAGGCGACUCGCUGGACAAGUAUUGACGCUGAGGUGCGAAAGCGUGGGGAGCAAACAGGAUUANAUACCCUGGUAGUCCACGCCGUANACGAUGAUNACUAGCUGUCCGGGUUCAUAGAACUUGGGUGGCGCAGCUAACGCAUUANGUUAUCCGCCUGGGGAGUACGGUCGCAAGAUUAAAACUUAAAGGAAUUGACGG